rnacentral:rRNA from 1 species
UUCCUACGGGUGGCUGCAGUAGGGAAUAUUGGGUAAUGUGCGAAAGCGCGACCCAGCAACGCCGCGUGUGCGAUGAAGGCCUUCGGGUCGUAAAGCACUUUUUAGAGGGAUGAGGAAGGACAGUACCUCUAGAAUAAGCCUCGGCUAACUACGUGCCAGCAGCCGCGGUAAAACGUAGGAGGCGAGCGUUAUCCGGAUUUACUGGGCGUAAAGCGCGUGUAGGCGGUUUGGUAAGUUGGAUGUGAAAGCUCCUGGCUUAACUGGGAGAGGUCGUUCAAAACUACCAGACUUGAGAGUGAUAGAGGAAAAUGGAAUUCCGGGUGUAGUGGUGAAAUGCGUAGAUAUCCGGAGGAACACCAGUGGCGAAAGCGAUUUUCUGGCUCAUUUCUGACGCUCAAACGCGAAAGCUAGGGUAGCAAACGGGAUUAGAUACCCGAGUAGUCCU